GAGGUGGGAGCGGUUGGCCUGCUGGCCUCGCUGCUUGGCGAUUGGCUGCCAGAGACCCGGCUCUGCCAUUUCAGGGCUUUCGGUGCAAUCUCAGGGCCUGCCUGCAACUUCUCGUGCUGGCCCGCACUGGAGCCACAUCAUUGCGGGGCGUAGUGGUACACACCGGUCGUCCCAGAACUCGGGAUACUUGGGUUUGAACUCCUUCCUUUGGACUGAAAUGGCUGCAACCCAACUUCCAGUGGGAAAACCUGUAAAGGCAUCCUGCAGCCUGCCUCCCAUCUGUAGGAAUGGUACCUGGUCCGGUCUGAGGCUGCACUGCUGCUGCUGCUGCUGCUGGACUCAGAGUCUGAGCUGCUUCGGGGAAGGUUGCAGUCAUUACGGUACACCAAGAAACUCUUCUUCACUGGCUGGUUCCCACUGCUGAAGCCAUUGGCUGGAGAUCUUCAGUAAAUACCAGACCUAUUUACUUCUAAAUCCCCAGUUCCUAGCAUGCAUUGGACUCCCAAGCCUGGGCAAAUACCAUGAAACCUGUGAAUAGCUGAAUGAGAAGACCACCAGAUUAGGAGUUGAGGAAGAUCAGAUUACGCAUUAAACGUUGCUUAUUGU
ensembl:antisense Gm15492 predicted gene 15492